rnacentral:rRNA from 1 species
UACGUAGGCAGCAAGCGUUGUUCGGAGUUACUGGGCGUAAAGGGUGUGUAGGCGGUUCUUUAAGUUUGGUGUGAAAUCUCCCGGCUCAACUGGGAGGGUGCGCCGAAUACUGAGGGACUAGAGUACGGGAGAGGAAAGUGGAAUUCCUGGUGUAGCGGUGAAAUGCGUAGAUAUCAGGAGGAACACCGGUGGUGUAGACGGCUUUCUGGACCGUAACUGACGCUGAAACACGAAAGCGUGGGGAGCAAACAGG